CUUCGUGCUGGUUCAUUUUCCUCAAAGUGUCCUCUUGACUCCAGGAUCCUUCCAGAAGUAUUCUCUCCACCCAACCCGGGGCUUGAACUACAAUACCGAGAUCGAGAGUCCCUCGCUCCACCAACUGAGCCAGCCAUGCACAAGAGGGAAAAGAAACCUGGCACCACUCCUCUUGCUUCUGGGAUCAAAGACGGUCUGGCUCCGGCUCCUCUGGACCCCAGGCUUGGCCUCCCCCCACCUCCAUCCCUCCCAUCAUCUGAUGGAUUCCGGAACCGCUGGGAGCUUAGGGAAGAAGAAAGAUCAUCUGUCUAAAGGCAUCAACAUCGCUUGCCUUUAAAAAUUUUUUUUUUUUUUAUUUUAAACCUUCCCACAAUUCAAAUGUUUCUCUUAUUAUCUUCUGCCGAGGGAAAAAAUUAAUAACACGGCGCAAUAUAAAACACUAAAUUAAAGGCAUUUUGGAACCAGCA
rnacentral:lncRNA from 1 species